rnacentral:rRNA from 1 species
GACGAACGCUGGCGGCGUGCUUAACACAUGCAAGUCGAACGGAAAGGCCCUGCUUUUGUGGGGUGCUCGAGUGGCGAACGGGUGAGUAACACGUGAGUAACCUGCCCUUGACUUUGGGAUAACUUCAGGAAACUGGGGCUAAUACCGGAUAGGAGCUCCUGCUGCAUGGUGGGGGUUGGAAAGUUUCGGCGGUUGGGGAUGGACUCGCGGCUUAUCAGCUUGUUGGUGGGGUAGUGGCUUACCAAGGCUUUGACGGGUAGCCGGCCUGAGAGGGUGACCGGCCACAUUGGGACUGAGAUACGGCCCAGACUCCUACGGGAGGCAGCAGUGGGGAAUAUUGCACAAUGGGCGGAAGCCUGAUGCAGCAACGCCGCGUGCGGGAUGACGGCCUUCGGGUUGUAAACCGCUUUCGCCUGUGACGAAGCGUGAGUGACGGUAGUGGGUAAAGAUGCACCGGCUAACUACGUG